rnacentral:rRNA from 1 species
CCUACGGGGGGCAGCAGUGGGGAAUAUUGCGCAAUGGGGGAAACCCUGACGCAGCAACGCCGCGUGCGGGAUGAAGGCCUUCGGGUUGUAAACCGCUUUCAGCAGGGAAGAUCCAAGACGGUACCUGCAGAAGAAGCCCCGGCUAACUACGUGCCAGCAGCCGCGGUAAUACGUAGGGGGCGAGCGUUAUCCGGAUUCAUUGGGCGUAAAGCGCGCGCAGGCGGGUUGCUAAGCGGGACCUCUAAUCUCAGGGCUCAACCUUGAGCCGGGUCCCGAACUGGCAGCCUCGGGUUCGGUAGGGGAGAUCGGAAUUCCCGGUGUAGCGGUGGAAUGCGCAGAUAUCGGGAAGAACACCGAUGGCGAAGGCAGAUCUCUGGGCCGCAACCGACGCUGAGGCGCGAAAGCUAGGGGAGCGAACAGGAUUAGAUACCC